rnacentral:rRNA from 1 species
AUUGAACGCUGGCGGCAGGCCUAACACAUGCAAGUCGAGCGGAUGAAGGGAGCUUGCUCCUGGAUUCAGCGGCGGACGGGUGAGUAAUGCCUAGGAAUCUGCCUGGUAGUGGGGGAUAACGUCCGGAAACGGGCGCUAAUACCGCAUACGUCCUGAGGGAGAAAGUGGGGGAGCUUCGGACCUCACGCUAUCAGAUGAGCCUAGGUCGGAUUAGCUAGUUGGUGGGGUAAAGGCCUACCAAGGCGACGAUCCGUAACUGGUCUGAGAGGAUGAUCAGUCACACUGGAACUGGACCACGGUCCAGACUCCUACGGGAGGCAGCAGUGGGGAAUAUUGGACAAUGGGCGAAAGCCUGGUCCAGCCAUGCCGCGUGUGUGAAGAAGGUCUUCGGAUUGUAAAGCACUUUAAGUUGGGAGGAAGGGCAGUAAGUUAAUACCUUGCUGUUUUGACGUUACCGACAGAAUAAGCACCGGCUAACUUCGUG